rnacentral:rRNA from 1 species
GGUUAAGUUAGAAAGGGCGCACGGUGGAUGCCUUGGCACUAGGAGCCGAAGAAGGACGGGACUAACACCGAUAUGCUUUGGGGAGCUGUACGUAAGCGUUGAUCCAGAGAUUUCCGAAUGGGGGAACCCACUAUCUUUAGUCGGAUAGUAUCCUUACGUGAAUACAUAGCGUGAGGAAGGCAGACCCAGGGAACUGAAACAUCUAAGUACCUGGAGGAAGAGAAAGAAAAAUCGAUUUCCUGAGUAGCGGCGAGCGAAACGGAAAGAGCCCAAACCAAGAAGCUUGCUUCUUGGGGUUGUAGGACACUCUAUACGGAGUUACAAAAGAAAGUUAUAAAUGAAGCGGUCUGGAAAGGCCCGCCAAAGACGGUAACAGCCCGGUAGUUGAAAUGGCUUUCCCUCCAGAGUGGAUCCUGAGUACGGCGGAACACGUGAAAUUCCGUCGGAAUCCGGGAGGACCAUCUCCCAAGGCUAAAUACUCCCUAGUGACCGAUAGUGAACCAGUACCGUGAGGGAAAGGUGAAAAGCACCCCGGAAGGGGAGUGAAACAGUUCCUGAAACCGUGUGCCUACAAGUAGUUAGAGCCCGUUAAUGGGUGAUAGCGUGCCUUUUGUAGAAUGAACCGGCGAGUUACGAUUUGUUGCAAGGUUAAGCGGAAAAAGCGGAGCCGUAGCGAAAGCGAGUCUGAAUAGGGCGCAUAAGUAACAGGUCGUAGACCCGAAACCAGGUGAUCUACCCAUGUCCAGGAUGAAGGUAAGGUAAUACUUACUGGAGGUCCGAACCCACGCACGUUGAAAAGUGCGGGGAUGAGGUGUGGGUAGCGGAGAAAUUCCAAUCGAACUUGGAGAUAGCUGGUUCUCUCCGAAAUAGCUUUAGGGCUAGCCUCGAGGUAAAGAGUCAUGGAGGUAGAGCACUGUUUGGACUAGGGGCCCUUCUCGGGUUACCGAAUUCAGAUAAACUCCGAAUGCCAUGUACUUAUACUCGGGAGUCAGACUGCGAGUGAUAAGAUCCGUAGUCGAAAGGGAAACAGCCCAGACCACCAGUUAAGGUCCCCAAAUAUAUGUUAAGUGGAAAAGGAUGUGGGGUUGCUUAGACAACCAGGAUGUUGGCUUAGAAGCAGCCACCAUUGAAAGAGUGCGUAAUAGCUCACUGGUCGAGUGACCCCGCGCCGAAAAUGUACCGGGGCUAAACAUAUUACCGAAACUGUGGAUGAACCUCUUUAGAGGUUCGUGGUAGGAGAGCGUUCUAAGGGCGGUGAAGUCAGACCGGAAGGACUGGUGGAGCGCUUAGAAGUGAGAAUGCCGGUAUGAGUAGCGAAAGAAGGGUGAGAAUCCCUUCCACCGAAUAUCUAAGGUUUCCUGAGGAAGGCUCGUCCGCUCAGGGUUAGUCGGGACCUAAGCUNNNNNNNNNNNNNNNNNNNNNNNNNNNNNNNNNNNNNNNNNNNNNNNNNNNNNNNNNNNNNNNNNNNNNNNNNNNNNNNNNNNNNNNNNNNNNNNNNNCGAGGCCGAUAGGCGUAGGCGAUGGACAACAGGUAGAGAUUCCUGUACCAGUGCUAAUUGUUUAACCGAUGGGGUGACACAGAAGGAUAGGGAAUCGCACGAAUGGAAAUGUGCGUCCAAGCAGUGAGUGUGAGAAGUAGGCAAAUCCGCUUCUCGCGAAGCAUGAGCUGUGAUGGGGAAGGAAAUUAAGUACGGAAGUUCCUGAUUUCACGCUGUCAAGAAAAGCCUCUAGGAAGAGUAGUACUGCCCGUACCGCAAACCGACACAGGUAGAUGAGGAGAGAAUCCUAAGGUGAGCGAGAGAACUCUCGUUAAGGAACUCGGCAAAAUGACCCCGUAACUUCGGGAGAAGGGGUGCUCUAUUAGGGUGCAAGCCCGAGAGAGCCGCAGUGAAUAGGCCCAGGCGACUGUUUAGCAAAAACACAGGUCUCUGCAAAACCGUAAGGUGACGUAUAGGGGCUGACGCCUGCCCGGUGCUGGAAGGUUAAGAGGAGUGCUUAGCUUCGGCGAAGGUACGAAUUGAAGCCCCAGUAAACGGCGGCCGUAACUAUAACGGUCCUAAGGUAGCGAAAUUCCUUGUCGGGUAAGUUCCGACCCGCACGAAAGGCGCAACGAUCUGGGCACUGUCUCAACGAGAGACUCGGUGAAAUUAUAGUACCUGUGAAGAUGCAGGUUACCCGCGACAGGACGGAAAGACCCCGUGGAGCUUUACUGCAACCUGAUAUGGAAUGUUUGUACCGCUUGUACAGGAUAGGUAGGAGCCGAAGAGACGUGUGCGCUAGCAUACGAGGAGGCAAUGGUGGGAUACUACCCUGGCUGUAUGACCAUUCUAACCCGCCACGCUUAGCGCGUGGGGAGACAGUGUCAGGUGGGCAGUUUGACUGGGGCGGUCGCCUCCUAAAGAGUAACGGAGGCGCCCAAAGGUUCCCUCAGAAUGGAUGGAAAUCAUUCGCAGAGUGUAAAGGCACAAGGGAGCUUGACUGCGAGACUGACAAGUCGAGCAGGGACGAAAGUCGGGCUUAGUGAUCCGGUGGUUCCGCAUGGAAGGGCCAUCGCUCAACGGAUAAAAGCUACCCCGGGGAUAACAGGCUUAUCUCCCCCAAGAGUCCACAUCGACGGGGAGGUUUGGCACCUCGAUGUCGGCUCGUCGCAUCCUGGGGCUGUAGUCGGUCCCAAGGGUUGGGCUGUUCGCCCAUUAAAGCGGCACGCGAGCUGGGUUCAGAACGUCGUGAGACAGUUCGGUCCCUAUCCGUCGCGGGCGCAGGAAAUUUGAGAGGAGCUGUCCUUAGUACGAGAGGACCGGGAUGGACACACCGCUGGUGUACCAGUUGUUCCGCCAGGAGCAUCGCUGGGUAGCUAUGUGUGGCAGGGAUAAACGCUGAAAGCAUCUAAGCGUGAAGCCCCCCUCAAGAUGAGAUUUCCCAUUUCUUCGGAAAGUAAGAUCCCUGAAAGAUGAUCAGGUAGAUAGGUUUGGAGUGGAAGUGUAGCGAUACAUGGAGCGGACAAAUACUAAUCGAUCGAGGACUUAACCAA